UACGAAGGGGGCUAGCGUUGCUCGGAAUCACUGGGCGUAAAGGGUGCGUAGGCGGGUCUUUAAGUCAGGGGUGAAAUCCUGGAGCUCAACUCCAGAACUGCCUUUGAUACUGAAGAUCUUGAGUUCGGGAGAGGUGAGUGGAACUGCGAGUGUAGAGGUGAAAUUCGUAGAUAUUCGCAAGAACACCAGUGGCGAAGGCGGCUCACUGGCCCGGUACUGACGCUGAGGUGCGAAAGCGUGGGUAGCGAACAGG
rnacentral:rRNA from 1 species